GGCUGGCUGAGCAGACUCUGUGGAGAUUUGUAUGCAAAAUGGGAGCACUCCGUCUGCAAGCAAAUGGAGUUCAGAACAGGAGGCAACCUGCUGGGCUAAGCUGGCCCACCCACCGUCUGUUGGUUCCUGGAUCUCCUCGAUCACCCUGGGGACCUUGACUGUACCUGGGAGUGGUGCAGCCUCCAUCUUCUCGGCCCCAUGACUCAAAUGAAGGAACUGUCCCUCUCACUUGAGGGAGAUUGGCAGUUGGGAUGGAUUAGGAGGUGCUGAGGUGAGACAGAAGCCAGCAAGGAGUCCCCAUCCUCUGAUGUUGCAACCAGAUCCAUCCCAGAUCACUCUCAUCCUACCAAGUCACCAAGAGAGGGAGAGGACCUGAUGCUGCUGGACCUAGGUGACAGUACAAGGCAACUACUUUCAAGUACGUCCCUCCCCUCCUCCUCCUCCUCCUCCUCCUCCUCCUUUCAUAAACACAUAUUUGGAAGGUAUCUUUGCCAUUAUCGGCUUAGGGCCAAGUUACCUGAAGGACUGCCUACUCCAGCCUAUGAAAUCAUGUAGAGAGGCUUUCCUGCACAUCCCAUCACCACCUGAAACACAACUGUCGGUGACAUGUGAACGAACUUUCUCAGUGGUGGCCUCAGCCUUCUGGAACUCCCUGACCCUUGAUCUUAGGAUUACCCCCUCCCUGUUCAAUUUUAAAUGACAGUUGAAGACUUUUUUAAAAAAAUUCAACAGGUUUUCCUGUAACUUUGUGAUUGCCUUGUUUUAAUGACUGUCAUAUCCUGCUCUUCUACGAUUUUAGAGACUCUGUUGUUUUACUGGGUUUUAAUGAAUUUUCUUGUAAGCAACCACGAAUUCGUUCAGAAAGAAUGGUGGCAUAUAAAUCUUUGAAAGAAGUAAAUAAAUAAAUAGAAUUUUUUACAGAAAACCUCAUAGAAAGGCCUGUCAUAG